CCAGAGUGUUUCCCUCACCCUCUCCUUCCUUCUCCCAGAGUCCAGGAAGCAACAAGAGAGGAAGUGAGUCAUUGCAGCCCUCCCUGGGCAAGAGGAACCAAUCAAGAACUGUCCCACAGACCUGCACCCUCCCCUCCCCUGACGCACUAGCACUCCAGGCAGCACAAGGGGGAGAUAAAGCUGGCCCUGUCCUCUGGCUAUUCUUAGAUUGGCUGCUUAGGAGCCCAAGUGUGAGACGGGUUCCUAUCUGAAAAUCACGGUGCACUCUUGUUGGACAGAGGAGAUGGCCUGGGUGGUAGCCAGCUGCCUUCACCCAACUCACGAAGAUCUUCACCUUCUCAGCCACCACAGAGUCAGAAGAACAAAAACAGCCGCAGAGCGGGGGUGGAGCAGGGGCAGGUCCACGGGUUACCUUGGCAACCAAAUAAGAUCACAGAUAUGAAAACAAGUAGGGACCGGCACUGUGGCCUGGUGGGUAAAGCGGCGCCUGCAAUGCCAGCAUCCCUAUGGGUGCCUGUUGAAGUCCCAGCUGCUGCGCUUCCGAUCCAGCUCUCUGCUGUGGCCUGGAAAAGCAGUGGAAGAUGGCCCAAGUCCUUGGGGCACCCAAGGGGCACCUGCAUGGGAGACCCAGAAGAAGCUCCUGGCUCGAUAUCAGCUCAGCUCUGGCCGUUGUGGCCCUUUGGGAGUGAAGCAGCGGAUGGAAGACCUUUCUCUGCUUCUCCUUCUCU